rnacentral:rRNA from 1 species
GGACUCUCGGCAACGGAUAUCUCGGCUCUUGCAUCGAUGAAGAACGUAGCGAAAUGCGAUACUUGGUGUGAAUUGCAGAAUCCCGUGAACCAUCGAGUCUUUGAACGCAAGUUGCGCCUGAAGCCAUUAGGCUGAGGGCAUGCCUGCCUGGGUGUCG